rnacentral:rRNA from 1 species
AUGGAGGACAGAGCGCCGCUUCUGCCCCGGCGCCAAGAGGCGGCGGCGGCGGCCAAGAGCGGCGGGUGGCGCUGCGGGGCGGCGGCGGCGGAGGCCAGGAAGGUCGCGCACGUGGCGCUGCCGAUGGCGGCCGUGAGCGUGGCGCAGUACGCCGUGCAGGUGGCCUCCAACAUGAUGGUCGGACACCUCCCCGGGGGCGUGCUGGCGCUCUCCGCCUCCGCCAUCGCCACCUCCCUCGCCUCCGUCUCCGGAUUCAGCCUCCUCAUUGGAAUGUCAAACGGCUUAGAAACUCUGUGUGGUCAAGCUUACGGGGCCGAACAGUACGGCAGAUUGGGAGUGCAAACCUACAGAGCUAUGGUCACCCUGACGGCUGUCAGCAUUCCAAUCUCACUUCUCUGGGUAUUCAUGGGAAAACUCCUGACCCUCAUAGGCCAGGACCCCAUGAUCUCGCAUGAAGCCGGAAGAUACAUAAUGUGGUUGAUUCCGGCCCUCUUCGCAUAUGCUGUCAGCCAGCCCUUAACAAAGUUCUUACAGUCUCAGAGUCUGAUAAUCCCUAUGCUUUGGUCCUCCAUUGCGACGUUGCUCUUGCACAUUCCUGUUUGCUGGUUAUUAGUGUUCAAGACCAGCCUUGGGUACAUUGGAGCCGCUUUGGCGAUAAGCGUAUCAUACUGGUUGAACGUGUUCAUGCUUGUCGCAUACAUCGGAUGCUCAAACUCUUGUAAGGAGACAUUCUCGCGUCCUACACUCGAUGCUUUCAGUGGAGUGGGUGUGUUCAUGCGCCUAGCUCUGCCGUCUGCAUUAAUGUUAUGUUUUGAGUGGUGGUCAUUUGAGGUCAUUAUUCUUCUGUCUGGACUUCUACCCAAUCCAGAGUUGCAAACUUCAGUUCUAUCUACAUGCAUGACAACAAUCACAUUGAUGUAUACUAUAGCAUAUGGGAUUGGUGCUGCUGGAAGCACUCGUGUAUCAAAUGAAUUAGGUGCCGGGAAUCCUGAAGGUGCUCGACUGGCUGUCCGCGUUGUGAUGUCUAUUGCUGUGACUGAGGCAGUUCUCAUCACUGGGGCACUGUUAGCAUCCCAGCACAUCUUGGGAUAUGCAUACAGCAGUGAUAAGGAGGUUGUUGAUUAUGUCAAUGCAAUGGUUCCCUUCAUCUGCAUCUCAGUUGCUGCUGAUAGCCUACAAGGAGUUCUCUCAGGUAUUGCUCGAGGGUGCGGGUCGCAGCACCUGGGCGCCUAUGUGAACCUCGGUUCGUUCUAUCUGUUUGGGAUUCCGAUGUCCCUCCUUCUUGGGUUUGUUCUGAAGAUGGGAGGGAAAGGGCUUUGGAUGGGCAUUUCCUGCGGCUCCAUAAUGCAAUUCCUACUUCUGUCCGGCAUAGUGUUCUUCAGCAACUGGCAAAAGAUGUCUGACAAUGCGAGGGAGAGCGUUUUCGGCGGAACCCUGGCAGAGAAGGAGCCUUUGAUGUCUGAUGUAACGGGCGCUGCCUAA